rnacentral:misc_RNA from 1 species
GAAUGAAUGUCAAAAUCAGUCUCUGUAAAUGUAAAAUCUUGUCUGACCACAAACUUUAUUGAUCUAAAAUCUAGAAAAACUGAAUUGGAUUUAGGGCAAUUUCGAAGAGAUCAACAAUGGCUACCAUUUCAACGGCUCGAAGCUCCGCUUAUCUCACAGCUCUUACACAAGAGAUUGAAAAGAAGCUUCAACGUGCAUUGACUUCGCCCUCACAGAGGCGUAACUUGCUGCAAGAGCUUUUCGCUGAUAUAGCUUUGGAAGUAGAUGACCGAGCAAAAGAGAUAAUACUCGGCACCAAGGAUGCUAUUAUGGUUGCAGAGGAACGGGCUGAAGGACCGACAUGCUACUACUAUGUGCUUGCUGAUCAUUUUGUCCAUGUACCUCAGAAUGGAAAACCGAUCCUUGAUUUAAUAGUCCAACUGUGGAGCCAAUCUUUUGCUGCAAAUAUUUUUUCACUCCUUUUCCAUAAGUGGUUGUUUGAGGUUCAACUUGAGAAUUCUGAAGUCCUCCUCCGAUACUCAUCAGCUCUUGUUCAAGGAGCGACAAAUGUAUUCUGGAUUGACAUCCAAACAAACACAAGGCGUUUUCAGAGUCUUUUUAAGUAUCUGCUCGAGGAAGUUGCCCUUGUUCCUGACCGAUUAAAGAAGAUCCCUUUGCAGGCCCAAAGAGAUCUAUUUCUCUUCCUCUCAAGGUUCAUAUUUUUCUAUAACCUAGGUGACAAACUAGGAAGUUUCUUAAGGCAAUUCCCUGAUUUCCCGAAUGCUUUCUUGAUUGGUGGUGCAGCAGAUAUAUUUGUCACUGAACUAGCUGAUCAGCUUCAAAAACUAAAAGUGGAGCCAGUGUUGUUGCAUUAUCUCUCCCAAUUGAAGGUUCUUCAAGGAUUAGAGUUGAGAAUGGCUACUAGUACAAGAUUGAAAACUUGCUUGUAUAGCUUCACGUCACCAGG